UACGUAGGGACCGAGCGUUGUCCGGAAUCAUUGGGCGUAAAGAGCGUGUAGGCGGCCAACUAAGUCCUGCGUGAAAUCUCGGGGCUCAACCCCGAGCGGUCGUGGGAAACUGGUUGGCUAGAGUGCAGGAGAGGAGAGUGGAAUUCCUGGUGUAGCGGUGAAAUGCGCAGAUAUCAGGAAGAACACCCGUGGCGAAGGCGGCUCUCUGGGCCGAUACUGACGCUGAGGAGCGAAAGCGUGGGGAGCAAACAGG
rnacentral:rRNA from 1 species